UACAGAGGGUGCGAGCGUUGUCCGGAAUCACUGGGCGUAAAGGGCGCGUAGGCGGCCCGGUAAGGUUGCGGUGAAAGCCCGGGGCUCAACCCCGGGUCGGCCGUGGCAACUGCUGGGCUGGAGCACAGUAGAGGCGGGUGGAAUUCCGGGGGUAGCGGUGGAAUGCGUAGAGAUCCGGAAGAACACCGGUGGCGAAGGCGGCCCGCCGGGCUGUUGCUGACGCUGAGGCGCGACAGCGUGGGGAGCAAACAGG
rnacentral:rRNA from 1 species